GCAACUUGUACCCUGUCUCAAAAAAACCAAAAUUUUAAGUCAGACAACAUGCAAAAGUAACAUCUUCCUUUAAAAUGAUUGGUAUGCUGUUUUUUAUGGUAUAUCAUUAUUAAAAGUGAGUACAAGU